CAGUGGUUAGUUUAAUUAAAAUAUUAAUUUUGGAGAUUAAGGAUGAGUUUACUUCUUACCGCUGA
rnacentral:tRNA from 1 species